rnacentral:rRNA from 1 species
UACGAAGGGUGCAAACGUUGCUCGGAAUUAUUGGGCGUAAAGCGCACGUAGGCGGCUUAGCAAGUCGGAAGUGAAAUCCCACGGCUCAACCAUGGAAGUGCUUUCGAAACUGCUGGGCUUGAGUACGAAAGAGGAUCGCGGAAUUCCCGGUGUAGGAGGUGAAAUUCGUAGAUAUCGGGAGGAACACCAGUGGCGAAGGCGGCGAUCUGGGU